UACGAAGGGUGCAAGCGUUACUCGGAAUUACUGGGCGUAAAGCGUGCGUAGGUGGUUUUUUAAGUCCGUUGUGAAAGCCCUGGGCUCAACCUGGGAAUGGCAGUGGAUACUGGAAAGCUAGAGUGCGGUAGGGGGUAGUGGAAUUCCCGGUGUAGUGGUGGAAUGCGUAGAUAUCGGGAGGAACACCAGUGGCGAAGGCGGUUGCCUGGAGCUUUGCUGACGCUGAGGCGCGAAAGCGUGGGGAGCGAUCCGG
rnacentral:rRNA from 1 species